CAUGACUGGGGCAAAUCAAAACAAAUAAUGUAGAAAUAGUAGUGUAACAUGGUUACUGAGCAGAAUUGCUCAUGAACACAUGAAGCAUUCCCAAUGUAAUUGGAAAAAAUUCUGUCAAGAAUUGGAGAAACUGUAGGUCAGAACGAGAAUAAGUAAAAUUUAUUGCUGAUAUGUCUGUUUUAUAUCCUGGACUGGAAAACGUGUUACAUUACCAUAGGAAACAAGCAUUUAAUUAAAUUGCUUUUUGUCUUUCAUUCAGAUUACUCCAGGUCUUGUUACAUGUGACAAGUCAUUUUAGCAAUCGAAAGAUGGAUUAUUAUGCAUGGAGUCAGAACUAAUAGACUACAUGAUUUGAAGUAUAGUUCGUUUUGAGCCAUGGUGAACACUGAAUCAGCUCAGUUCUUCCUCAACAUCUCUUUGUGCUGCUCUAUGUGACUCCAUUACUAAUUUUUAUCUGGAUCAAUUGGAACAUGGGGUGAUCUGAUUUUAUUUCUUGCUCAACAACUUCUUGAUUCUGAAAAUCUUGUGAGAAGGAUCUGCAAUGUACUCUCAACAGCCAGCAUUUUGCAUAAGAGGAAAAGCAUUGUGUCAUCCAUAUUAAUUACACAUCUUGUAUCUGCCAGUAAUGUCACUAUUGGUACUGCCAACGCUGUGAGUCUCUUUUCAAGGAUAUUCCUUGGGUUAUGUUCAAUGUUAUGCAUGAUUGGAUCAGAAUUGGGACAGAAAAAUUUUUGGCAACAUUUGAAAAUUUCAUACAGAUAAAAGGAAAAAAAUUAAGUUAUAAGUGUUUGCCUACUUUACUCUGUUGGGCUGAUUGGAAUAAUGGGUAAAAAGUAUUGAUUGAAAUCUAAAAAGGCUAAGUUGAUCUACAUAACAUAUAGCUGAGUGUGGAUCAGUGCAGAGAGAGUGUAUAGCAAAUAAAAGCCAAUGCAGAGCACUAGAGGUUGUUUUA
rnacentral:lncRNA from 12 species